UACGUAGGGUGCAAGCGUUGUCCGGAAUUAUUGGGCGUAAAGAGCUCGUAGGCGGUCUGUCGCGUCGGAUGUGAAAACCCAGGGCUCAACCCUGGGCCUGCAUUCGAUACGGGCGGACUAGAGGUAUGCAGGGGAGAACGGAAUUCCUGGUGUAGCGGUGGAAUGCGCAGAUAUCAGGAGGAACACCGGUGGCGAAGGCGGUUCUCUGGGCAUUACCUGACGCUGAGGAGCGAAAGCAUGGGGAGCGAACAGG
rnacentral:rRNA from 1 species